ACCGGGUAUGGUGGUGCAUGCCUGUAAUCCCAGUGACUUUGGAGGCUGAGGCAGGAAAAUCAAUAGUUCAAGGUUACUUAGUAACUCCAUGAGGCUCUGUCUCAA
rnacentral:sRNA from 1 species